UAUUCCUACGGGGCGCAGCAGUGGGGGAUAUUGCACAAUGGGGGGAACCCUGAUGCAGCGACGCCGCGUGAAGGAAGAAGUAUCUCGGUAUGUAAACUUCUAUCAGCAGGGAAGAAAAUGACGGUACCUGACUAAGAAGCCCCGGCUAACUACGUGCCAGCAGCCGCGGUAAUACGUAGGGGGCAAGCGUUAUCCGGAAUUACUGGGUGUAAAGGGAGCGUAGACGGUGAUGCAAGUCUGGAGUGAAAGGCGGGGGCCCAACCCCCGGACUGCUCUGGAAACUGUAUGACUUGA
rnacentral:rRNA from 1 species